ACAUAGACCCAGUUGUAGGAUUAAGAGUUGGAGAAGCUGCACGACAAGAUGAAGAUCAAAGAACGGAAGUUAUGAGUGUAUCCACGAACCUGCUGAAUGAAUUAAAAGUGUUCAGAGACUCUGCAUCCCAGCAACGUGCCGGCUAGAGGAAAUCCAAUCAACAGUGACAGAUCUCACUAAAGCACGGGAACAUAUGAAGCAGGAACGGGAGGACUUUUCUCAGGAGGCUGCUGAAAUGGAACAAGCUCUUAAGGAAGCAGAAGCUCUCUUGUUAUAAAUGUAAUAAUAAUUUCUCGACUUAAAGUAUUUUUUAAAAUAAUGUAUAAGUGUAUAUUGUGUAUCUAUUCUUCAUCUCUUCAUAUUAAAACCGCUGAAACCACAAUAUUUGAAGAUGCUAACCCCGGGGAGAAAUUGGAUUUUGUAACAGUUGCUCCAUUUUAGAAUAUACAAUAUUUAUAUGUUAAAGUAAAAUGUAAAAAUGACCUAUACCAUAUUUGAGAGGAUUUUCUUUUCCAGUAUACCCACAACUAAAGAUUGUAAUAAUUAUCUACAACUUCAGAUAUUUUCCAUGUAAGUUGAUCAUCGGGUCCUGAAAAUGUAGUUAAAAAACAAACAACUUGAUAACUAAUUUAUUUUUGCAUUUAAAUCACAUUAACCUAGUUAUUAUAGUCCUUGGAUAAACACAAAAUAGUAUUGUGUAUAUAUAUUUUAAAUGACUAAUAAUAUGACAUAGAAAAUGCCUAUUGCAGUAUCAUAAAUCCGUACAUUGUGCGGCUUAUUCUUGCUUGAUGGAAAUUAGCUCAAAGCUAAAUCUGGCACUGUUACGCUUGACACAUUUAAUGUUUUAAGUGUUCAUUAUUGUGCAUUGUCCCUGCCAAAUAAACGAUCAAAUAAAAAAAUAGUCCCUUAUUAUGUGGACAUAUGCUAA